rnacentral:rRNA from 1 species
UACGAAGGGGGCGAGCGUUGUUCGGAAUUACUGGGCGUAAAGCGCGUGUAGGCGGUCUCGCAAGUCGGAUGUGAAAGCCCAGGGCUCAACCCUGGAAGUGCACUCGAUACUGCGAGGCUAGAGUCCCGGAGAGGAUGGUGGAACUCUCGGUGUAGAGGUGAAAUUCGUAGAUAUCGAGAAGAACACCGGUGGCGAAGGCGGCCAUCUGGACGGUGACUGACGCUGAGACGCGAAAGCGUGGGGAGCAAACAGG